AAGGGUCUCGAUCUAAAAUGUUGACUGUUGUUCAUUUCCAUAGAUGCUGCCUUACUCAUUGAGUUCCUCCAGCAUCUUGUGUGUGUUGCUUCUUCUAUCUGGUUUGUUUGACCAAGCAACUACAGAAAGAAGCAAAGUGGAUUUUUCAGCAACAAUAUCAACCAUGAUCAAUAAAGCUAUUAAGGACAUGGAGGGAAAUGAAACUAAGACAGACAAACGGACCCAUGGAUCAGUUGAGAUGUACUGUAUCUUCAUUGAAUCGUAGAACACAUCUGGUUCAACAGCACUGCUUCUCUUGGAUGUCAAGAACAAAAUCUGUACAGUUCAUUUUUAAAAAAAAAACAGAAUCCUCCUGUAACUUUUUGAAGGAUUAUCAGUUUGGCUGCUUACUUGUUGUUGCAUCCAGAUGACUGGACUGCAGAAGGGACACAUGAAUUGGUGAGGAGCUUGGUGUACAUAAAUAAUUAGUCAAAUAACUGGUUCAGAUUGGCACUAGGUAAUCAAUCAGAUGGUCAAAAUGUCAUAUCCUUCCAUUAUAUUUUUGACUGCUCUAUAUAUGUUUUGUGGAUGUCAACCCAGCAGCACCUCAACAUCAUUUAUGUCAAUGAGCCUAUCAAGAAUUUGCUGACGAGGUUCACCAUUACAAGGUAAUGAAACUGAAUAUAAUGUAUAAACUUAUAAAUUGUAGUGUAGGGGUCAAAUUGAUACUGAUUUACAAAUGGUCAAUACUCAUUGUCCUUUUCCUUCAAGUUUUUUUUGAUGUCCUGGGUUUCUAUUAUAAUAAAUGUGAAGUAAGUCCUAACUCACACAGCUGAAAACUUCUCAACACAUCUAAUUGUUUAGGGAAUCAGAAAGCCUAGUCCUUGUUUUGAGAUAACAUUGAUUGGUUUCAAUUGAACCUUUGUGCAAUGUCAUUUAGAUCUUCCUGUCUUCUCAGUAAACUGAGAAAUAUUUUUCUGUCAAUUAUUUUCAGCAGUGGAAUGUCUCAAUGAAGAAAUACUGUAAUAAGAUGAAAUGAUAAAUUAAAAACUUCUUGUGGCGGUUCGCCCACGUGGCAAGCGAACCGGCUCCAGCAGUCGCGGAUGAGUCCGCAGCCAGCGGCAACCAAGAGGGCUCUGAGUGCGGGGCAGACCUUGGCCCGGAAGCCGACGUCACUUCCACCCCGCAAAGUGACUCGGCCUCGUAAAAACAAGAAUAGCUUGCUACGAAAACACCGUCAUGACAGUGCCCCGAUAACUCCACUGCCGAGUUAAGGGCUAUUCUUCUUCUACAGACUUACUUGUGACAUUGCCCUAUACAUUGUCCAACUGUGUGUAUGAUGCAGAUUUCUUUCAAUAGACAACUUCUAAACCCAUGUAUGGUUUUUCAAACUAUAUGCAAGAGUCAUUUUUGGAAAAAUGAACUAUUCUUACUGACUAAAUUGGAAGUGAAAUUGCAUAAUAUUUCAUACUCUGGAUUUGAUAACAUCACUAUUUGUAGCCAUGUUCCAGACUGCUAUAAAUGUUGGUACAAUUAUUUCUAGUGAUGUCUUAAAAUGUUUGCUUACAGUCCUCCAUAAUAGAAAACAUAUUAAUUCUUGUUUGCUGUAGGGGUGGGUGUGAAAUUGUUAUUAAAAUAAAUUUAAUGCAUUUUUAAUGGAAGGUUUUGAUUUCUUUUAGAUAUUUCUAUCGCAGCAUCUUUUGCUUUUCUCUUUUUAAAAAUCUA